rnacentral:rRNA from 1 species
AGAGUUUGAUCCUGGCUCAGAUUGAACGCUGGCGGCAUGCCUUACACAUGCAAGUCGAACGGCAGCACGGGAGCUUGCUCCUGGUGGCGAGUGGCGAACGGGUGAGUAAUAUAUCGGAACGUACCCUAGAGUGGGGGAUAACGCAGCGAAAGUUGCGCUAAUACCGCAUACGAUCUACGGAUGAAAGUGGGGGAUCGCAAGACCUCAUGCUCAUGGAGCGGCCGAUAUCUGAUUAGCUAGUUGGUAGGGUAAAAGCCUACCAAGGCUUCGAUCAGUAGCUGGUCUGAGAGGACGACCAGCCACACUGGAACUGAGACACGGUCCAGACUCCUACGGGAGGCAGCAGUGGGGAAUUUUGGACAAUGGGCGCAAGCCUGAUCCAGCAAUGCCGCGUGAGUGAAGAAGGCCUUCGGGUUGUAAAGCUCUUUUGUCAGGGAAGAAACGGUGGACUCUAAUACAGAUCACUAAUGACGGUACCUGAAGAAUAAGCACCGGCUAACUACGUGCC